GGUGGAAAUGUAUGGAAGUCUUGAUCAAAACGCUAUCAAUCAUUAACGUUACACUAUUUGUUGAAGUAUUUAUAUUUAGGUGUUGCAUUUCCAGCUGACUAUUAUAUUAUCUCCUACUGAGGCAGUAGCUUCCUGCAGUGCCACUUCCUGAAACUAUAGGUGUGGCACAAUGGUAUCAUCGUCCAGCCCCAAACCAUCGCCUGAGACGGCCAAUCAGCGUGAGGUAGUAUCCUUUGGACAG